CGUAGGGGGCGAGCGUUAUCCGGAAUCAUUGGGCGUAAAGGGCGCGUAGGCGGAUAUUUAAGUCAGGUGUGAAAACCCAGGGCUCAACCUUGGGAUUGCAUCUGAUACUGGGUAUCUUGAGGACAGGAGAGGAAAGUGGAAUUCCUAGUGUAGCGGUGAAAUGCGUAGGAUAUUAGGAGGAACACCAGUGGCGAAGGCGACUUUCUGGACUGUAACUGACGCUGAGGCGCGAAAGCGUGGGGAGCAAACAGGAUUAGAUACCCUGGUAGUCCACGCCGUAAACGAUGAGUGCUAGGUGUAGGGGGUAUCGACCCCUCCUGUGCCGCAGUUAACACAAUAAGCACUCCGCCUGGGGAGUACGGCCGCAAGGUUG
rnacentral:rRNA from 1 species